CAGGCGAAAAGGGAUCAAAUGUCAGCUGUAAGAUGGGAGGGCGACUGCUAAAGCGCGAUGGAACUGGAAAGGAUCGAGGGAGCGAAGCGCCUCUCCUAGCCACGGUGACCUGGCAACUGUCUCACGGCAUGACCCCAGGAUCCCAAGCAGUGUGACAUAAGCUUGGGCUGACAUUUGGGAAGAGGCGUUUAACUAACACCACCUCGUCAGGAGCACAGUCUUUUGGAACACCUUGAGCCAGACCUGCGCCUGCUCACCUGAUGAAUCUCUUGAGCCUUUGGGCCACAUCACCAAAGGAGGUCAUCCCCGCCUUCCUUCCAUCAUGGAGCAGCUGUUAUAUGGAGCUACUGUGCGUGCACAAGGAAAAGAUGUGUGGACUUUUAGCAGAGAGCAAGCGUCCACAACCAGAGCUACAACUGGCAGAGCCGUAAGAAGUGUGAGGAGACCUGCAGCUCUCGGCAGAGGAGGACUGUUGCGGCUACAAACAUAAAAUGCGGUUCCAGGUUUGGAAGAGCGGAGUGAGGGGAAGCAGCUGGACUGAAGCAGGGUCAAUUCUUGGAAAAUGGCAACGGGCAGGGAGGGGGGCGAUGUGGGCUGGAAGGUAGAGUGUAGAAUGGCAGAAGGCUGUGUGCUGGGUCAAAGAGCUGUUUAGCAUAAAUGGGGGGAGACCAGAGCCUGGAGGGUUGAGGCCUUUUAGCCUAGCUACAGGGAAACUGCUUCCAUGUGUGAAAUAACACCCUGGAAUGAGAGCAUCCUCAAAACUUUUGUCAGGAGAAUCCAAAGGCCAGGAGGACCGAAAGGCUGGAGUUCCGGACUGAGAAGCAAAGCUGUGGCUGUUAAUCCCAACAAAGCAAUUAUUCAGAAACGAAGCACUUUGCUCUGAUCGCAUUCAGAAGUGCAGGAAUACGCACGGUUUGUAAACAGAUAUUUUUUAAAAGUCAUGAAGGUAUGAUUCUCAUCUGUACUAGAUCAGUUUCAAUUAUGGCAGCCUGAGGAUGUGGACAAGCUGCUUGAAGAAGUGCGGCCGACCACCUGUCCCCUUGACCCUUCCCCAUCUUGGCCUCUUAGAGCUAGCCGUAGGGUGUUGACUGGGUGGCUCCAGGGAGUGGUUAAUGCUUCACUGGAGGAGGGGGAGGUACCAUUUCCCUUGAAGGAGAUGGUGGUGUGUCCCCUCUUUUAAAGGACCUCCCUGGACCCAGAAGUGUUAAAACCACCAGUAGCAAAUAUCCCCUUUUUGGCAAGGUGCUCAAGAAGUUGGUGAUGGUCCAGGUUUAAGCAUGCUUGGAGGAAACUGAGGACUUGGAUCUGGUUCAGACUGGUUCAGGCUUGGCCAUGGCACAGAAACUACCUUGCUCACCCUGGCUGAUGACAUCUAGUGGAAGAGAGUUGGGUGGAGUGUGACCCUGCUCAUUCUCCUUGAUCUCUCAGCAGCUUUUGAUACUGUUGACCCUAGUAUCCUUUUGGAGUGGCUCAAGGAGGUGUGGU